rnacentral:rRNA from 1 species
AUUGACCGCUGGCGGCAGGCUUAACACAUGCAAGUCGCGCGAGCGGCAGACGUGUGAGUAAUGUGUGGGACACUGCCUGAUGGCGGGGGAUAACUACUGGAAACGGUCGCUAAUCCCGCAUACCAUCAGAUGUGCCCAGAUGGGAUUAGCUAGUAGGUGGGGUAAUGGCUCACCUAGGCGACGAUCCCUAGCUGGUAUGAGAGGAUGACCAGCAACACUGGAACUGAUACACGGUCCAGACUCCUACGGGAGGCAGCAGUGGGGAAUAUUGCACAAUGGGCGCAAGCCUGAUGCAGCCAUGCCGCGUGUGUGAAGAAGGCCUUCGGGUUGUAAAGCACUGUCAGCGAGGAGGCGUUACUCGCAGAAGAAGCACCGGCUAACGCCGUGCCAGCAGCCGCGGUAAUAC